UACGGGAGGCAGCAGUGGGGAAUAUUGCACAAUGGGCGCAAGCCUGAUGCAGCCAUGCCGCGUGUAUGAAGAAGGCCUUCGGGUUGUAAAGUACUUUCAGUCGUGAGGAAGGUGUUAAGGUUAAUAACCUUAGCAAUUGACGUUAGCGACAGAAGAAGCACCGGCUAACUCCGUGCCAGCAGCCGCGGUAAUACGGAGGGUGCGAGCGUUAAUCGGAAUUACUGGGCGUAAAGGGCACGCAGGCGGUUAAUUAAGUUGGAUGUGAAAUCCCCGGGCUUAACCUGGGAAUGGCAUUCAAGACUGGUUAGCUAGAGUCUUGGUAGAGGGGGUAGAAUUCCAUGUGUAGCGGUGAAAUGCGUAGAGAUGUGGAGGAAUACCGGUGGCGAAGGCGGCCCCUGGACAAAGGACUGACGCUCAUGUGCGAAAGCGUGGGGAGCGAAACAGGGAUUAGAUACC
rnacentral:rRNA from 1 species